CUGAAAUGCCCAUUGCAAAUGAAUUUAAGGGUGGAGGCAGGAAUGACUUAUUCAUGUUUUCUCAAGAAAGAUGCCAGGAUAGGACUCAAGCCCUUGCUCUGAUUUUUUCCUAUGCACAGAACUACCUCUCUGUUGCAAAUGUUUUGAGAAUUCAUCAUCAUCCCAGGUUGAUGGCAGGACCCUUAUGACCCAGCUGUGAGUCAUGGUUCCCAGCUGGGUGCCUCUGAAGAGAGAAAAGAAGCUCAGUUGUGCCCCUGAACUCCCACCAGCACGAGCCAGGAACAUCUGUCUGCUCCUUUCCUUUCUUGAGAUGUUCUCGAGGAGGAGGGAGGCAGGCAAUGAUGAUAUGUCUAUUUGCACACAAAAAGGACCUUCAGCUAAAUCAGCAACAGGAUAUCUCCAUUAAGAGGCAGUACCUAAGCACGAAAAAUUAAGUCCUCUCAUCAUCUGAAGCUUUCACUGGAAGAACAAAAUUCUUUAGCCACCAGGAUUGUACCAUAGAU